rnacentral:rRNA from 1 species
UACGUAGGGUGCAAGCGUUGUCCGGAAUUAUUGGGCGUAAAGAGCUCGUAGGCGGUCUGUCGCGUCUGCUGUGAAAACUCGGGGCUUAACCCCGGGCCUGCAGUGGGUACGGGCAGACUAGAGUGCGGUAGGGGAGACUGGAAUUCCUGGUGUAGCGGUGGAAUGCGUAGAGAUCGGAGAGAACACCAACGGCGAAAGCACUCUGCUGGGCCGACACUGACACUGAGAGACGAAAGCUAGGGGAGCGAAUGGG